rnacentral:rRNA from 1 species
UAGGGAAUCUUCCACAAUGGGGCGAAAGCCUGAAUGGAGCAACGCCGCGUGGGUGAAGAAGGUCUUCGGAUCGUAAAACCCUGUUGUUAGAGAAGAAAGUGCGUGAGAGUAACUGUUCACGUUUCGACGGUAUCUAACCAGAAAGCCACGGCUAACUACGUGCC